UACGUAGGGUGCAAGCGUUGUCCGGAAUUAUUGGGCGUAAAGAGCUCGUAGGCGGUUUGUCGCGUCGGCUGUGAAAACCUAGGGCUCAACUCUGGGCUUGCAGCCGAUACGGGCAAACUAGAAUUCGGUAGGGGAGACUGGAAUUCCUGGUGUAGCGGUGAAAUGCGCAGAUAUCAGGAGGAACACCGGUGGCGAAGGCGGCUUGCUGGGCCAGUUCUGACGCUGAGGAGCGAAAGCGUGGGGAGCGAACAGG
rnacentral:rRNA from 1 species